UUCGCGAUGGUGUUUUCCCUGACACCAUCACUCGAGGCUACGUUUACCAGGUAGCAAUCGCUUUUAAAAUUUGUUUCGUCGAGCGAUCCUAUUACGAUUGCGGAAUCUGCCUAGUGUUUCCAAAGUGACGCUCGACCGCAUGGCAGAAAACAGGCGAGAUCUAUCUUCCUCAGUCGAUGUCAAGGCUAUGUGGAUUUCCCAUGGAUGAUUUUCCAUGCCUUCCAAAUGGCUUGGGGCAAGGAUGAGGAUUCCGAUGGCGCGAGUCCGGUGAGCAAUCUAGUUGAAUUGGAGGGUGAGCCGGAGCAAACCUCAAGUGCUAAAUACGUUCCUCCUCACCAGCGAAAGCGAGAUCCUUCCGAGGAUGAAGUUCGCGUCAAAAGAAGAAUCAAAGGUAAAACGCACUUGAAAGCCCUGUUGUUUCUACGUGGGGUGAUUUUAUAGCAGGAGCUUCAUGACCGAGACGAUCACUGAUCAUGUCUUGAAGUCUUGCUCCAGUGGUCCCCGUGGUAACGAGCAGUGAGCACAGUAAUGCUUCUCUCACGCUGCUCUCUGUCCUCACAUAUUAUAGUUUCAUGGAUAAAUUUACGAAGCAGUCUUUGCAGCGAGCAUCUCUGGCAUCGCUUGUCUCGUCGGGAUGGAUUUCGGUGCUAAUUUUAUGGCGGGGCUUUGAGGUGAAACUCCUGGAGGCGUUUUUCAAAUGGGACGACGCGCUGAUUUUUCGGUUCUUAUGUUUACGUUUUACUGCAGAGACAAUAUGAAAAGGUCUAGCUGUUCGCAACCUUACGCUUCUUGAUUCUUCGCUCUACAGCUUGGGAUUGAUUACAAGCGAGCUGGUAUACUUUUGCACCUCCUCUGCAAACGAUUCCAGGAAAUAGAUGCCCAUCGAUGAAAGAGUUCAUUCUUGCUGUUCAAGAACGCACGUCGGAUUUAUUCCACGACCGUGGG